CUAGGGGAAGAGACAUGUGACUUCGGAUUUUAUUAAGAAACGUCUCCAAGGGAGGCCUUACUAUCCCCUCGUGUGAGUUUUUAAAAUUUUGUCAUUCUCUGGAGUAACAUUUCAAUGCUUUUCAUUGUAACCAUGAAGAUGCAAUUGACAAAAGCCCAAAUGUAUUUGAAAGGCUGCAUGAUUUUCUCAUUGAAUUAUAUCCUAACUGGCCUAAAGAAAUCAUCAUAUCCUUUGUGAAAAGAAGAACAAGAAUUAGAGUAAAUCACCUUAAUAAAAAUCUCAAACUUAAGAACGACAGAAUGCUAUGUGCCUCAACAGUGACGUCAUUAAUUUUUCCUUCUUCUCUUGAUAAUGAAAAAAACACAAGCGUAGAAUUUCUUUCUGCCUCACCUUGGGUGGAGCAGUAAAGGAAAAUGGGGACUCUUGUUUCCAUUUUCCUACAUUCAUGGGACUUUUGAAGGGAGCUGAGACGCAAACCCUCAGUCGGUGGCUGAAGGAGCUCAUGUCUUGAGCGGGAAUUAGUAAAGAUAAAUUUAAACCUCUCAGUUUCGAAGCAGCGAUUGCUGCAUUUAGGCGCAAUGAUGACUGCUCAGUACAGGAUAUAUUCUCUCGACCAGAAACUCUUGUGUUUUCCAGAAAAUUUAUAAAGUUUAUAUUCUGUCUGAUAUAUAGGAAGACACUAGAAAGCGAAGAGUAACACAAGAUGUGAUACAAUUGAGUUUUAGGUUCAGUGUCUGUGGAAAGUUCUGUUAAAUGUCUAUUUAAAGUACUAACUAUAUAAUUUUCAUAUAAUUAUAUACAUUUGCCGACACAAGUUUUAAAAACAUGGGACAUGUUUUUAAUUCGAAAUGAUGACCCUUAGCCUUGACUAUAGUCUCUAUUGAAAGGACUUGUAUGAUGUACACACCAUUUCCAGUGGGAUGGAGUUCCACCAAAGUCCCUACAAAGAGCUAUAAGAAGAAUAAUUGCCAAAGAAAUCCAAACAUCAACGGGGGACAACAAAAGAUACUGAAUAUUUUAAUGUUAGGCAAGUAGCACCGUGAUUUAUUGUACAAUUUUCAUGGUUUUUGUGACAGGGGUUAUAAUAACGGGGUGAGCAAACUGUUGAAUCCUCUUCAUAAUGAAAUGACGCAAUUAUUAAUGAAUUAAUACACAAUCAAUGAUUGCAAUUCGUGGGAAAUGAGUAAAACAUUUUAUCUUUUAAAAUUAGAAUAACAUUAAUGGAAAUCAUGAAUACAUAGUAUUGGAGGAUGAAUCAUCAUCAAAUAUAUUGAUAAUUUUUUUCGCCAAAGUGUCCUAUUAUAUAGCUAUUCAGUAUUGUUUGUUUAGCCCCUAGGUACACGCCACCACACCGGAACUCAAUCCAGUAUCAACCGGUAGAGGUUCAUCUAUGAGUUUCUAACUUUACUAUUAUAAAAUGAAUCAUAAUUACGCGACAUAUUAAAAAUCCUUAAUAGUUGCUCCUUCAUUGAUAUUUUCUUUUCCACAGACUCCAUAGCAAGUUCACUCAUUUCCUACAUUGUACGGACACAGUCAUGGAUUCGAUGGAAAGGUGUUUCCUCAUCUUCUUCACAUAGUCGACAGAUUGGGCUCAGGGUUUUACCCGUUUAAAAAAAAUGUCUCAUUAAGUUGUAUGUGGCCAUUAACCGUACCAACUAUACUGGAGAUUUUUUGUCUCUUGUAUUUGUAAACUUUUGUUCCAAUGUACGAUUCGACGAUUAACUGCUUAGAUUGGCGGUAGCUAUCCAACUGUUGCCAGAUAGUUUGUCACUCAUUCAAUGUGGCUUUUCUGACAGCUUUCUUAGCCAGACACACGGAAUUGGGGACAGAGAUUGGCGUACCCCCUUCUAAACCCUCCUUAGCCAAAGCAUCAGCAAACUCGUUCUCUGUGCUAUUAUUAUAACCCUUGAUCCAUCCAACUGUGAUAUCAUUCUUGGAAUUUAUCGAGAGCAUUUUUACAGCAAGAAAUUUCUUAUCUCAAUAUCCCCCUGGUUUUAUAUUUAAACUAUUUAUAGUGGACAGGCUAUCAGAUAAUAUUAAUAUCCUCUUGCCAUUCGUUUUGUUAAAUGGCAAAUUACUUGCUAGAUUUCUUAUAGCUUCAACUUCAUCUCGGAAUAAUGUGUUUGUAUCAUCAAGUCUUAAUGAUUAGUCUCCAAUAACGGCGUCAUGUUGUGUUAAGGCCCAUCCAUCACCUGUGUGACCAUUUAUUCUUGAUCUGUCAGUAUAUCCCUCUAUAUUCCAUAGCCUGAUCACUUUGUACCGUCGUCUAUAUGACCAGACAGCUACUCAGCAUGAUACUAAUUACGUGAUUUUAAAUGAAUCUCAAUUUCUGAAGGUGCUUCUUAUUAGCCAAGUUGCUGGGCAAAGGGGGAGAUAACAUAAAAACAUCCAGCAUGAUAUUUGUCAUUGUUGCUGACGGUUAACGGUUCAAUCAAAAGUUCAAAAAUUGGUAAUUUGUGAUGGUUAAAAAUUAAUCAAAUUAUGAAUAAAUUAUCUUGUUAUAAGUAAACAGUAAACGUUUUGCCUUGCAAAGACGAAAGCGGAAUAGUGACUUCUCCAUGGCGACGUUCCUUCUGGAAGAAGGUCUCAUAAGAUUAAGCUUAAAAAGGAAUGCAUCAUCGUCCACAAAUACUAAUGGGAUGGCAUUACAUGAAAUGGAAUAGUUAUAAUUCUAAAUUUGCUAACCGUAUCUGAAAUAUUAUUUUUCCAUUUCUUCCAAUAUUUGAUGCUACCCAACUUCAUGGAUUUGUCUUCUUUUUGUCGGAUAUCAUAGACAUCAAAAUGUUUUCAGAAUGACAAAGCAGCCAUUUUGUUGAAUAAUUGGCUUGACAAUUUUUUGGGUUUGAGGACACAAAAUUUCUUAGUCGUUUUAUUCACUCAAAUAGGUGUUUGGAUUUGUUUAUAACGGACUGUUUACUUUUUAUUUUGAACCACAUCGCACCAUAUAUAUUCAUAAUGAAAAUAAAAAUUUCUUUCAGGUUUUUCGAUUGAUUUUUGUAUAAACAUAAAGCCUUAAAAUGAUAUUGGUAGUAGUGAUCCAUAUAGAAUGUGCCAUUUUCCUGGGAUUUCUAUUGGACAGUGAGCUUCUACAAGUACCUAUAGAGACUGCUUUGCAAAUAUCUAAUUGGUAUAGUUGGUCAUUACUUUAGUAAUUAAUAUUAGGGAAGUUAUUUAACAAGUUAUCAUUAAUGGGUUUGUAUUAUACAAUUUUACACUUAGACCUGUGGGUCUUAAAGUUUUUCCAUCCAAAGUUGUAACGACGUCCCGUAGCAGAAGCUCAUUUUGAUCUAAAAGGCAAAUCACCCAUUGAAUAGGCCUUUCAAUAGUUCUUUCCAGGCAAGAAAUAUGGCAUCACUUUCGGUUACUUACGAAAUCAGUGAAAACGCCUUAUAUAAUGAAGAAUUGUUAAUAUUUUUUAUAAGAUUUAUAUUUGAUUCCACAAUCUACUGAGGGAUUUUCCUUUACCGUCAUGUUGAAUCCCCUCCCUGAUAAGAACAUCGAUAUGAAUAUAUAUUGAUGCAUGAACUGAUUUAAGUAUCAUGAAUGGAGUUCGAUACAUAUACUUAUCACGAAACUGUGUAGAUUGCUAUUUCAUAAAUUUUAAUUUUUAAUUAAUUUUUUUUGAAGGAAUUAAGACUUGGACGAGAUUUUUUGAUUAUAUUCAUAUUUAUUGGAUAAACAACGGAAGUUUUAAAUGAAAUAAAUAUAACAACUAGAGGUAAUUUAGACUCAAGACAAAUUUUUAAUUGUAUCGCAAAUAUAUUCAAAAAUGAGUAAAAUCAAAAAUACAGGGUUGAUUUUAUCAACUGAUACACAUCUAAUUAUUUUCAUGUGUAAAAUUUAAACGAGAGGUUUUGUGAGGAUACUUAUUUAACAAAAUCCUCUGAAUAUAGCACAACUUUUUUUCAAUAUGUGAGCCCUUAGCUCUAAUAAUUGCUAAUACAUCUCUUACAGACCUUGAAUAUGAAGUCAUACUCGAACUUGUUCCACUUUUUCUAGAGACUGGACACUCCUGUGAGGAGUAGCAUACCCCCCUUUCCUCCGGACGCGCCUAGAUAGUAAAUCAAAGGGGCUUACGUCUGGAGAUGUGAGGAGCCACAUGCUGAGGUACCAAAAUCUAGAAAGUAGUCUCUCAGGAAUGCUUGGUUCUUAGCGGUGCGAUAACACAGAGCUCCAUCUUGAGCGAAAACAAAGUUGUUCCCGAACUUUUCUCUAGGCCAAGGUAACACUUUCUUAUCCAGAAAUUUGAUGUAAGCAUCUGCAUUGAGCCCCUACUUCCUCUCCACAAAAAUGGGAGGACAGACUCAUUAACUCCCAAGACCAUGGUUCCGGUUAGAUUGUUUGGAUGUUCGUUUGUGAUGUAGCUACUGUUCUGCUUAUCCACAGUGGCAUCAACGGCGAAAAAAAUUUCAUCAGAAAAGAGCAAGACC
rnacentral:lncRNA from 1 species